CCAAGAGUGGAUUCUGCAAAGCUGAAAAGGAUCCUUGUUGUUACUUAAAAAAAUACACUGAUUCAUAUGUCUUUCUACUCUUGUAUGUGGAUGAUAUGUUGAUUGCAGAAUCUAGUAUGAGGGAGAUUAACAAUCUGAAGACAAGGUUGUCUGCAACGUUUGAGAUGAAAGAUUUGGGUCCAGCAAAAUAGAUUUUGGGGAUGAAGAUUUCUCGGGAUAGAUCUGCUGGCACUUUA
rnacentral:misc_RNA from 1 species